rnacentral:rRNA from 1 species
CCCUUAGAGUUUGAUCCUGGCUCAGAUUGAACGCUGGCGGCAGGCCUAACACAUGCAAGUCGAGCGGUAACAGGGGAGCUUGCUCCUGCUGACGAGCGGCGGACGGGUGAGUAACGCGUGGGAAUCUGCCCAUUGGUGGGGGAUAGCCCGGAGAAAUCCGGAUUAAUACCGCAUAAUACCUGAGGGUUAAAACGGGGGAUCAUUAGACCUCGUGCCGAUGGAUGAGCCCGCGUCAGAUUAGCUAGUUGGUAGGGUAAAGGCUUACCAAGGCGACGAUCUGUAACUGGCCUGAGAGGGUGGUCAGUCACACUGGAACUGAGACACGGUCCAGACUCCUACGGGAGGCAUGCAGUGGGGAAUAUUGGGCAAUGGGCGCAAGCCUGACCCAGCCAUGCCGCGUGUGUGAAGAAGCUUUCGGGUUGUAAAGCACUUUAAGUUGGGAGGAAGGCUGCUUAGUAAUACCUAAGUAGAUUGACGUAACCAACAGAAUAAGCACCGGCUAAUCCGUGCCAGCAGCCGCGUAAUACGAAGGUGCGAGCGUUAAUCGGAAUUACUGGGCGUAAAGCG